rnacentral:rRNA from 1 species
UACGUAGGGGGCUAGCGUUGUCCGGAAUCAUUGGGCGUAAAGCGCGCGUAGGCGGCUCUUCAAGUCAGGCGUGAAAGCCCCGGGCUUAACCCGGGAAUAGCGCUUGAUACUGUUGGGCUUGAGUCCGGGAGAGGAUAGUGGAAUUCCCAGUGUAGAGGUGAAAUUCGUAGAUAUUGGGAAGAACACCAGUGGCGAAGGCGGCUAUCUGGACCGGAACUGACGCUGAGGCGCGAAAGCGUGGGGAGCAAACAGG